rnacentral:lncRNA from 1 species
UUUUUAUAUAAAGUAUAAGAAUGCAUUUCAUAAUUUAAUGUAUUUUCCUGUAGCUAUUGUCAUGUCCUUUCAGGUGUCCACUUUACUAGCUAUCUUGAACCACUUGCAAUGUGUCAUUUACAUAAUUUCUAGCAGUUACUCUUUAGAUAAAUUCUGGAAUAUAUUUAUGCACAUUAUUUUUGUGUUUGUAGUUUAAAGUGUUUGUUGGUUACAUUUAUACCAAUAUUGUUAUCUUACUAUGUGUCCAUGUACUUUUGAUGCAGAGUCUUGCUGUCCUAUUCACUGAGUUCUCCAACUCAUCCUUGAAACCACGCCUCCUCUGAGCUUCAUGAGAAACUCACAGUACAGAGGCAGAGCACCACAUUCAGCUGAGAAC